rnacentral:rRNA from 1 species
ACUCAAAUGAAUAGACGGGGGCCCGCACAAGCAGUGGAGUAUGUGGUUUAAUUCGAAGCAACGCGAAGAACCUUACCAGGACUUGACAUCCCUUGAAUAGCCAAGAGAUUGGUGAAGCCCUUCGGGGCAAGGAGACAGGUGGUGCAUGGUUGUCGUCAGCUCGUGUCGUGAGAUGUUGGGUUAAGUCCCGCAACGAGCGCAACCCCUGCCGUCAGUUGCCAUCAUUAAGUUGGGCACUCUGGCGGGACUGCCGGUGACAAAUCGGAGGAAGGUGGGGACGACGUCAAAUCAUCAUGCCCCUUACGUCCUGGGCUACACACGUACUACAAUGGCCACUACAGAGGGCAGCCAAGGAGCAAUCCGGAGCAAAUCCCCAAAAGUGGCCCCAGUUCAGAUUGUGGGCUGAAACCCGCCCACAUGAAGUCGGAAUUGCUAGUAAUGGCAGGUCAGCAUACUGCCGUGAAUACGUUCCCGGGCCUUGUACACACCGCCCGU